GACGAACGCUGGCGGCGUGCUUAACACAUGCAAGUCGAGCGGUAAGGCCCUUUCGGAGGUACACGAGCGGCGAACGGGUGAGUAACACGUGGGUGACCUGCCCUUAGCUCUGGGAUAAGCCUGGGAAACUGGGUCUAAUACCGGAUAUGACUCCAUAACGCAUGUUGUGGGGUGGAAAGCCUUGUGCGGCUAGGGAUGGGCCCGCGGCCUAUCAGCUUGUUGGUGGGGUGAUGGCCUACCAAGGCGACGACGGGUAGCCGGCCUGAGAGGGCGACCGGCCACACUGGGACUGAGACACGGCCCAGACUCCUACGGGAGGCAGCAGUGGGGAAUCUUGCGCAAUGGGCGAAAGCCUGACGCAGCGACGCCGCGUGGGGAUGACGGCCUCGG
rnacentral:rRNA from 1 species